rnacentral:rRNA from 1 species
UAGGGAAUCUUCGGCAAUGGACGAAAGUCUGACCGAGCAACGCCGCGUGAGUGAAGAAGGUUUUCGGAUCGUAAAACUCUGUUGUUAGAGAAGAACAAGGACGUUAGUAACUGAACGUCCCCUGACGGUAUCUAACCAGAAAGCCACGGCUAACUACGUGCCAGCAGCCGCGGUAAUACGUAGGUGGCAAGCGUUGUCCGGAUUUAUUGGGCGUAAAGCGAGCGCAGGCGGUUUCUUAAGUCUGAUGUGAAAGCCCCCGGCUCAACCGGGGAGGGUCAUUGGAAACUGGGAGACUUGAGUGCAGAAGAGGGGAGUGGAAUUCCAUGUGUAGCGGUUAAAUGCGUAGAUAUAUGGAGGAACACCAGUGGCGAAGGCGGCUCUCUGGUCUGUAACUGACGCUGAGGAUCGAAAGCGUGGGGAGCAAACAGG